rnacentral:rRNA from 1 species
AUGGCUCAGAUUGAACGCUGGCGGCAGGCCUAACACAUGCAAGUCGAGCGGAUGACGGGAGCUUGCUCCCGAAUUCAGCGGCGGACGGGUGAGUAAUGCCUAGGAAUCUGCCUGGUAGUGGGGGACAACGUCUCGAAAGGGACGCUAAUACCGCAUACGUCCUACGGGAGAAAGCAGGGGACCUUCGGGCCUUGCGCUAUCAGAUGAGCCUAGGUCGGAUUAGCUAGUUGGUGAGGUAAUGGCUCACCAAGGCGACGAUCCGUAACUGGUCUGAGAGGAUGAUCAGUCACACUGGAACUGAGACACGGUCCAGACUCCUACGGGAGGCAGCAGUGGGGAAUAUUGGACAAUGGGCGAAAGCCUGAUCCAGCCAUGCCGCGUGUGUGAAGAAGGUCUUCGGAUUGUAAAGCACUUUAAGUUGGGAGGAAGGGUUGUAGAUUAAUACUCUGCAAUUUUGACGUUACCGACAGAAUAAGCACCGGCUAACUCUGUGCCAGCAGCCGCGGUAAUACAGAGGGUGCAAGCGUUAAUCGGAAUUACUGGGCGUAAAGCGCGCGUAGGUGGUUUGUUAAGUUGGAUGUGAAAGCCCCGGGCUCAACCUGGGAACUGCAUUCAAAACUGACAAGCUAGAGUAUGGUAGAGGGUGGUGGAAUUUCCUGUGUAGCGGUGAAAUGCGUAGAUAUAGGAAGGAACACCAGUGGCGAAGGCGACCACCUGGACUGAUACUGAC